GCACAACGCGAAGAACCUUACCUACCCUUGACAUGUCUGGAAUGCCGAAGAGAUUUGGCAGUGCUCGCAAGAGAACCGGAACACAGGUGCUGCAUGGCUGUCGUCAGCUCGUGUCGUGAGAUGUUGGGUUAAGUCCCGCAGCGAGCGCAACCCUUGUCAUUAGUUGCUACGAAAGGGCACUCUAAUGAGACUGCCGGUGACAAACCGGAGGAAGGUGGGGAUGACGUCAAGUCCUCAUGGCCCUUAUGGGUAGGGCUUCACACGUCAUACAAUGGUCGGGACAGAGGGUCGCCAACCCGCGAGGGGGAGCCAAUCCCAGAAACCCGAUCGUAGUCCGGAUCGCAGUCUGCAACUCGACUGCGUGAAGUCGGAAUCGCUAGUAAUCGCGGAUCAGCAUGUCGCGGUGAAUACGUUCCCGGGUCUUGUACACACCG
rnacentral:rRNA from 1 species